rnacentral:rRNA from 1 species
CCUACGGGCGGCAGCAGUGGGGAAUAUUGGACAAUGGGCGAAAGCCUGAUCCAGCCAUGCCGCGUGUGUGAAGAAGGCCUUCGGGUUGUAAAGCACUUUCAGUGGGGAAGAAAGCCUUGGGGCUAAUACCCUCGAGGAAGGACAUCACCCACAGAAGAAGCACCGGCUAACUCCGUGCCAGCAGCCGCGGUAAUACGGAGGGUGCGAGCGUUAAUCGGAAUUACUGGGCGUAAAGCGCGCGUAGGCGGUCUGAUAAGCCGGUUGUGAAAGCCCCGGGCUCAACCUGGGAACGGCAUCCGGAACUGUCAGGCUAGAGUGCAGGAGAGGAAGGUAGAAUUCCCGGUGUAGCGGUGAAAUGCGUAGAGAUCGGGAGGAAUACCAGUGGCGAAGGCGGCCUUCUGGACUGACACUGACGCUGAGGUGCGAAAGCGUGGGUAGCAAACAGGAUUAGAUCCCCUGUAGUC